rnacentral:rRNA from 1 species
GAUGAACGCUGGCGGCGUGCCUAAUACAUGCAAGUCGAGCGAACAGACGAGGAGCUUGCUCCUCUGACGUUAGCGGCGGACGGGUGAGUAACACGUGGAUAACCUACCUAUAAGACUGGGACAACUUCGGGAAACCGGAGCUAAUACCGGAUAAUAUAUUGAACCGCAUGGUUCAAUAGUGAAAGACGGUUUUGCUGUCACUUAUAGAUGGAUCCGCGCCGCAUUAGCUAGUUGGUAAGGUAACGGCUUACCAAGGCAACGAUGCGUAGCCGACCUGAGAGGGUGAUCGGCCACACUGGAACUGAGACACGGUCCAGACUCCUACGGGAGGCAGCAGUAGGGAAUCUUCCGCAAAGGGCGAAAGCCUGACGGAGCAACGCCGCGUGAGUGAUGAAGGUCUUCGGAUCGUAAAACUCUGUUAUUAGGGAAGAACAAAUGUGUAAGUAACUAUGCACGUCUUGACGGUACCUAAUCAGAAAGCCACGGCUAACUACGUG